rnacentral:lncRNA from 1 species
GGGGGAGCAAGAAGGGAAGGGAAAGAACAUGAAUCAUGUAACCAUGGGGAAAUAGUCUAAAUUAAUUAAAUAAUUUUUAAAUCACCAAAAUGCUAUUAUGGAGCAUCAGACAUGAUUGAAUCCAAUGAACAAUAACAACAGCACAUCAUGAUCCUCUUAUUUAUACUAACAGUAACAAUGAAAUAAAAAUCAGAUUGUCCUUAUCUAAUUAAAAAAAAAAACUGUAAGUACAAAGACCAAAUAAGCAAGAUUCAAAGAAAACAGGAAAAUCCAGAGGGUGAGCCAUGCCAGUUCAUCAGGCCUCAGUGCAGCAGAAGAAGAUGAAAUGAAGACAGAGGCCCUGGAAGUGAAUACAAAACCUGAAGAGACAUAAAAAGCUGGAGUAUCAGAUCCAUAGAUACAGAUAUUUGUUCCUUGAUUAUUGGAAGAAAAAAGAGCCAAAUUAUAAUACAGAAAGAGACAGAUGGGAACUUUUGGAAAGGCCUGGUGCAAAGACUUUGCAAAGCAGGACCUAGGCACAUGCAAGGUAUGGAAAGAGGAGUUCCAGAAUCAGGGAAAGAGAUAAAAGGUGGAACCUGAGGAUCAAGGGAGUUUGUUGUUCACUGGACACCAGGAGAGCAGUGACUGACUUCCUGUGGCCAUCCUGUGAAGGCUAGAGGGA